rnacentral:rRNA from 1 species
UACGUAGGGGCGAGCGUUGUCCGAAGUUACUGGGCGUAAAGCGCGCGUAGGCGGUCCCUUAAGUCUGACGUGAAAGGUUCAGCGCUCAACGUGAACAGUGCGUUGGAUACUGGGGACUUGAGUGCGGGAGGGAGAGUGGAAUUCCUGGUGUAGCGGUGAAAUGCGUAGAUAUCAGGAGGAACACCGAUGGCGAAGGCAGCUCUCUGG